rnacentral:lncRNA from 1 species
UCGCGUGCCGGUGAUUAAUUGAUCAUUGAUCAUUGUUUCACACCUGAAGCAUGUCGAUUACCAGUUAAUCGGCCCUUAUUCACACACGAAGCGUGCCAUUAAUUAACCGUUAUCAAAACAACUUCACACCUGAUCUAAUCUUUCUGCAUGUACGUUUGCACUAUAUUUUAAAAUGUAUAUUUCAUCACAAUACCAAGGACGUAUAUUAGUUAUACGUCCUUGACAAUACUACUAUCAUUUAUAUACGUAUUGACCUCAAUUAUUAUAAAAGUUAAAAUAAAAAUUAAGCCAAUAUUUAGAAGAAUUACGAGAG